rnacentral:rRNA from 1 species
UACGUAGGGUGCGAGCGUUGUCCGGAAUUAUUGGGCGUAAAGAGCUCGUAGGCGGCCUGUUGCGUCUGCUGUGAAAGCCCGGGGCUUAACCCCGGGUCUGCAGUGGAUACGGGCAGGCUAGAGUUCGGCAGGGGAGACUGGAAUUCCUGGUGUAGCGGUGAAAUGCGCAGAUAUCAGGAGGAACACCGGUGGCGAAGGCGGAUCUCUGGGCCUUACCUGACGCUGAGGCGCGAAAGCUAGGGGAGCGAACAGG